GCUCCCGUGGUCUAGUCGGAUAGGACGCUGGUCUUAUGAACCGGAUAUCGCGGGUUCGAGCCCCGCCGGGAGCA
rfam:Leptomonas pyrrhocoris LpyrH10_03, whole genome shotgun sequence.